UCGAAUAACACUGCCACCUGCUGGUCGUUACAAGCACAAUACAGAAAAAGGCAGAGUAAGCACAAAGUGUCAUCCGUCAAGUGUGAGAAGGUGUGAAAAAGAGAGAUGCGGCGAGUCAAGACUGUGUAUGUCCCCCAGUUUGGGUCACAGCAGAGCUCGAGUCAAAGAACUGAAUCGGAUAAGACAGAGUCCCUUUCUCAGACCCCGAGGGAGAAGACUGGGAAUAAGCGCCGCAAAGACAAACGCGCAAAGCCUCGGUCCAUCUUGAAAGUAAAAAUACCCAGACUCACCAGCCACAGUUUGCUCGGAAAAGUAACAAAGGACAACAAAACGCCGGCAAGGUCGAUGUUGGAGCCUGCAGUAAAUGAUACCAAGGCAGCAAUGAACCAAGGAGGAGAAAGGCAGUGUAUUAUUUUGGGUGCUGACACUGCAGAUGGAGAUGUUUUCUUUUUCUCCCAAAGAUCCACUGGCAAAGCAACAAACGAGAAAGAAAAGGCGAAGCAAUUUGUUCUUAGGACCAUCUCCAAGAUGUUGGAGGAGAAUCAGCUUAUCAGACAGCGACUGGAUGCUCUCACUAAGGCCAAAUGAGUCUGCGAGGAUCAUAGUGGCCCACAAACAUAGUAGGCAACUUGCUAGUACUCAGCACAAGUGUUUCUUUAAAUCUUUGUUCUCAUCGGUUGCCACAUUUACUUUGUUAAGCAUUGGGUGUGUGUUAGAAGUGUUGUUAAAGGUCAGGUUGCUGGAUCUUGAAGCAGUUUGCAUAGAAAUGCAUUUCUCAGAGAGAACCACCGUUUACUGUGUUUAGCUGAAACUGUUAUCUUAUUAAAUGGGUCAGUGAAA